rnacentral:rRNA from 1 species
GAUGAACGCUGGCGGCGUGCCUAAUACAUGCAAGUCGAGCGAACAGACGAGGAGCUUGCUCCUUUGACGUUAGCGGCGGACGGGUGAGUAACACGUAGGUAACCUACCUAUAAGACUGGGAUAACUUCGGGAAACCGGAGCUAAUACCGGAUAAUAUUUCGAACCGCAUGGUUCGAUAGUGAAAGAUGGCUUUGCUAUCACUUAUAGAUGGACCUGCGCCGUAUUAGCUAGUUGGUAAGGUAACGGCUUACCAAGGCAACGAUACGUAGCCGACCUGAGAGGGUGAUCGGCCACACUGGAUCUGAGACACGGUCCAGACUCCUACGGGAGGCAGCAGUAGGGAAUCUUCCGCAAUGGGCGAAAGCCUGACGGAGCAACGCCGCGUGAGUGAUGAAGGUCUUCGGAUCGUAAAACUCUGUUAUUAGGGAAGAACAAACGUGUAAGUAACUGUGCACGUCUUGACGGGACCUAAUCAGAAAGCCACGGCGAACUACGU